GUCUGCUCCUCGAGCAGAAAGCUUUGCCCGGACCACCACCGCUGCAAACAGGCCAGGAGCCCACAGGCAGCUAUUUAUAACUGUGGUAGAGACACAGGCCUGAUCAUCCUGCCUGAAAUCCAGCCCAGGAUGUGUUUAGGGCUUCAUUCUGUCUGUCUGAGGGGAAGGGAACUGCAGGGAGACCCUUAGCAGCCCUCUGCAUUUCUCCCCAAGACGUCAAGGUGCUUCAUUCUUCAUGUGGUCAGACACAGCUUUUGGAUGGAAUUUGAGCCACUGGCUUUGCAAGAGCUCUUCUGUCCUCACCAAGAAGGACACACAGUGGUGGUGGAGAUGCUGGAGCUGAAGGAAUAAGGACCAGGGCAGAGGAUGAGGAAGUCAGACCCUGGAUCUGGCCUGACAGCCCGGAGACAUCCCUGCACAGCAGGCUCUGCCAACAGCAACCUCCUCUGGCAAAGAGAAAAGGCAGCGCUGGGUGCCCGCCAGCCCUGCUGGCAUCUCUGUCAGGUGGUGCUGAACAAGCCUUGCUGACUUUGGGCUCGUCCUUGGGAUCUCCUAUAGACGGAGGAUCUUCAGCUUCAACAGAAAUACCAAUAAAACAAUUGCAAAGCAUCAAGGCAAGCUUACAGCACUGCACCACAGCCCAUGGUCUUGUCACCCAUCCUAGGGACAGCUCUGAUCUUUGUGUCCUCUCCACAGGGGGAUGUGGUUUGUACAUGACUGCCCAUGCUGUAGAAAAAGACAUCUCCAUCUAUUUUAUGUGGGACUUCCUUCCAAGACUGAGCAAUAACGUUCUGCCAACCUCUUUGCCAAGAUGUUUGGCUCAAGAGACUAAAAUGAGCCAGAUACCAAUCUCCAGCUGUGAUUCUCCAGUUCCCAGGAGUUCAGGCAUAAGCUUACUUACAUGAACAAUGAGAUAAUGUUACUUCGCAGCUCUCUGUCCCACCAAUCCAUGUGAAAGUCAACUCAUUUCUCUAGGAAUGAUGCUGCCUCAGGCAAAGCCUGUAUGACUCAGAAGGAAAAAUUAUUAAAGUUUUAUUAAUUCCCCAACCCUGUUUACAUCUGAUCCUCUGUACUGAGUGUCAGGACCUCUCUGAACACUCAAGCAGCAGAGUUUCAGGACUUGGGAACAAUACCAUGUAAUUUAUGAUUGCUUCCUGCCCAGUGUCUGGUCAGCACAGAACAGAACUCGAAUCUCAAAUCUCAGGGAGCACUGUGGCAAUCUCCUGCCUCUGCCAAGAGAAAACCAGGCCUGCAGCAGCUCCCCUAACUGCACACAGAGACCUGACAGCAAAGGUGCAGUUAUGUACUGAGUCAGCACAAACAGGGCAGUGACAAGAGAAAGCAUUCGGAAUUCUGAACCAGCUCAGCUCUGGAUGGAUUGAAGAAAACAAAAUGUUCCUGCACACUGGUGCUAAUGAAGCCUGGUUUGCGAUGGCCUCGUGUGUCGUGCUUGAUUGAUUUUAAACUGUAUUAUGCAAAGCAGCAGCAUUUGCUCUGCCUGUGAGGCGCUGGAGAGCCCACACACGGCUGUGGAGUGAAUCAGGAGCUGAGGGAAAGAACGAGGCAGGUCCCGGGUGAACAGCCCGAUGUCUCCCAGGGGAACUGGCUGGGGUGAUGAAAGAUGCUGCACUCCUCACCUGACAGCAGCUGCUCCUGGCAAAGGGCUGCUGCUCCCAGGCUGAGCCACACAAACAGCUAAUUGUGCACUUUGCUGCAACGCUGGCUGUGGUAGCUAAAAUCACCCUCAUUUCAUGGCUCACGAGACAGGAACGUGCCCUUCUUGAGGGGUAAACUGGAGGCAAAAGUGGUGAGCAAUUAUUUUUUUAGUCAAUAGGCAGGUUUUGGUGGAAAAAUGAGCCAUGUUGAGAACUAAACCAUCAAAGGAGAGUGUCUGGUGUGAAUGAGCUUCGUCCACCUGAGAAACGCCCAUGUGAGAGCUGCUGGGGGAAGGGAUG